rnacentral:rRNA from 1 species
AUUACUCCUACGGGAGGCAGCAGUGGGGAAUAUUGGACAAUGGGCGAAAGCCUGAUCCAGCCAUGCCGCGUGUGUGAAGAAGGUCUUCGGAUUGUAAAGCACUUUAAGUUGGGAGGAAGGGCAUUAACCUAAUACGUUAGUGUUUUGACGUUACCGACAGAAUAAGCACCGGCUAACUCUGUGCCAGCAGCCGCGGUAAUAAU